UUCGUUAUCCACAGAGCCGUUAAAAAAGUCUGUUAAUCGAUGUACACUGCCAAGAGCUCAAGUGUUUUCAAGCAUAGUAAAUAAGAGUGCGUUAAUGCCAAAGAAACGGUGGUUCUCAACUGGCUUUGCUUCAGGGCCCAGAUUUUACAUUUGGACAUCAAGUGACUGGCACAUUGUGGUUUGUCAACACAGUCUUUUCCGAUCCAAGACCAGGCCUGGUUUGAGAAACGGGGGAGAUCGAGAUCUGUGUCAAAAUGUGCAAAAGAGAAGUCAUUGCAUGUCCCCAGCCAUCUUCAUGAAGCACACAUGAGGAGGAGAGGUGAGAAGAGUUAAACGAGGAGACAGAGCUCGGGUUUUAAUGGACGUCGGUGGAGAGACUGGGCUGGCUUAUCACUUAAGUAAAUCUGCACCUAGGCUAAUCAGAUUUGCAAAUAAAAAAUUCAUUUUGGAUUUAUCUAUCUUUGGAGUUAACACCGGAAAAAGCUAUUUUAAUUGCCUCUUGCAGUCAGGGAGUAAUUGAAAACGGAGCCAUCAAGUCGGACAGUUCAUGCCUCGGUGAUGCUGUUUGCAUUAUUUAUCACAGAAGAUGAGGAUUAGAUGACACUUUUGUCAAAUAUGGGCUACACACGUUUACACGUAGCAUCAGAAUCAUUUUUAAGUCAGUAUUUUCUGAACUGCUUCAUACAGAGCAAAUC